AUGGUGGUUCAGAAGAAGAAGCAAAAGAAUAUUAGUGAUUAUGGCAUAAUUUUACCUAUUGUGGUUCCUUCUCAUAAUUAUGGAAUUUUCACUAUUCAAAAUCAAGGUAUUAUGUUAGGUGAAGCUGAAAUUGGUGUUCCUCUUGGUGUGUUGAAUCUUAUGUAUAAGUUGUAUGUCAAGAAACAUGUCCUAGACUUUGUUCCCCAUAUUCCACAUUUUGAUGAUGUGACCCUUGAGAAUAAUUUUGUGAGUUAUGAGGAUCAUGCCAUUAAGAUGUUGAGAUUGAUUUCGUUUUAA